UGAGAAAGAAAAAUAGAAACCCACGGUCUCUCCUCUCUCCCUCGCCUCCGGCAGGAGGCGUCCCACCCCGAGCGGCAGUCGAUCCGGUGCCGUGCCGGUCGCGGGCUACUGGCCGGUGUCGCGAGCGCAUCCGCGCUUUCGGGGUUUUCCGCUGCGCCUUUCUGCACGGGGACGCGACCGGAGGAGCUCGCAGCCAGGCUGGCGGCCGGGGGCCCCAGCAGCGUCGGCGGACCAGGAGGAGGAGGACGUGGGGAGGGGGAGCACGAGCUCAUCUCUCUCUCCCUCACCUCCGGAUCCCAGCCACCGGGUGGACGCACGAUCUGUUGUCGCGCCGGUCGGAUCCGGUGCUGCGUCGGCGAUGACUUCGAGUACCCCCUCCCUGAACCCUCCGUCCGUUUGCCCCACCUCCGCUUCCCUCACCUCCCGCCGCCCCGCUUCCCCACCGCCAGCGCCGCCCCUCCACCUCCCGUCGGAGGACCCAUCUGCGCCCUCCACCUCCGGCACCUCGGCCGUCUCCGUCAAGCCGCUGGACGCGCGGGCCCACCGCGGGAGGCUGAAGAAGCUGAGCAAGCUCGCGCUGCGCCGGGCGCGGGACGGGCGGGAGCACGUCUCGGGAAUAGCGGACCGCCUCCUGGCGCGCCCGUGGCGGAGGUGCUCGACGACGCGUGGGUGUCCCCCGACGAGCUCGCCUACGUCGUGCGUGUCGUGGACGCGGCCUCCUGGUUGCGCGCUCUCGACGCCUUCGAGUGACUUGUUGCGAGCGGCAACGGGCCCCGGGCCCCCAUGUCGUCGCCUCGUUCUCGGGGUCCUCGGCCGCGCUCGCCAGGACGGGCUCGCAGAGGAGGUCUUCCUCCAGUUCGCUAGGGAGGGCACCACCGUGCAGGUGUUUAACGCCAUGAUGGACAUGUACGGCCGCUCCGGCCGCUUCGACGAUGUUCAGCAGCUGCUUGAUGCAAUGCACGGCCAGGGGAUCGAGCCCGACCUGGCCAGCUUCAACGCUCUGAUCAAUAACAGCGCAAAAGUUUGGGUGUUUACCCCCCGGCGUGAAGUCCGGCAAGCUUGGCUCAGGCCGGACGUUAUCACUUACAACACCCUGAUCAAUGCUUGCUCGCAAGGUUCCAUUCUGGACGAUGCAGUGGCGGUACGGUGUUCCAAGAGAUGAUUGAUUUAGAGUGUCGGCCAGACUUGUGGACGUACAAUGCCAUGGUGUUAGUUCAUGGCCGGUGUGGGAUGGCAUUGGAGGCUGAGAAGAUGUUCAUGGAGCUGCUACACGAGGGUUUUAAGCCGGAUACAGUUACCUAUAAUUCUCAUGCUUUUGCGAAGGAAGGAGAUGUCGACGCAGUGGAGCGGGUGUGUGAGGAAUAUGUCAAUGCUGGGUUGAGGAAUGAUGGAAUUACUUACAAUACCAUGAUCCAUAUGUAUGGGAAGAUGGGCAAGCUUGACUUGGCACUUGGUCUGUAUGAUGAGAUGAGAGCCAUAGGCCGCACUCCAGAUGUUGUGACCUACACUAUCUUGAUUGAUUCUCAGGGGAAGGUGUAUAUGAUUUCUGAUGCAGGGAAGGUGCUGGAGGAGAUGGUGGGUGCAGGAUUAAAGCCAACCCUGGUAACCUUCAGUGCUUUGAUAUGUGCAUAUGCCAAAGGUGGGAAGCGGGACGAGCGGCGGAGCAGACAUUUGAUUGUAUGGUUGUGUCAGGUGUCAAACCUGAUCGCUUAGCCUAUUUGGUUGUGCUGGACAUUAUUGCAAGGUUUGGUGAGACAAAAACUGAUGGCUCUGUAUCGGACAAUGAUGAAGGAUGGUCAUAUGCCAGAUGACACCUUGUAUCAGGUUAUGCUUGCUGCACUUGCAAAAGGAAAUGAACAUGAGGAGAUUGAAAGAGUUGUGCAAGACAUGGUAGUUGUUUGUCAAAUGGAUUGGCAACUGGUAUAUAGUGUACUCAUCAAGGCGGGUUGCAUUUUUCAUGGUGCUAUGUUGUUAAAGCAGCAUGCCUACAAGGACACGAGCCUGACAGUAAGAGCUUACUAUCCAUUUUGGAUGCUUAUGAAACAAUGGGAUAUCUGAAUGUUCCAUCAUGUCUCCAUGCCUACAAGGCCUCUCAUUGCUUCAUGCCUUCUUCAUGCUUUCCCAUAACUUGAUAUCUGAAUGUUCCAUCAUGCUUCCAUGCAAUCAAGGGAACACAUGUGAACAACCUAGAAAAGAAAUCUGGAGGCAAGAAUAGUUGCUACCUGGAUCGAGUCAACGCCGCUGCUCGAGCGACUGGCGGCGGCGCGGCUGCUCGAUGAAUGGUGGCGGCGGUGGCCGGAGCUUGCAGGGGCCGGAUCCGUGCGUCGAAGGUGCUGGGGAGGCGGAUCCAGAGGUGUGCGGCGAGGUGGGAGCUCACCGGAGCUGGGCGACGGAGGGAUCCGGCGCGAUGGUGCGAAUUCCUUGCAGUCGGAGGCGGGGCUUCAUGGCUGGUAGGUAGAGCUCUACAGCACUAAGGAGCCGACGCUGUUGGUAGCACUGAGAACGGAGGGAACAUCAAGUCAUUCUCCUCCUAGAAAACCAGAUGUAUAACCAUUUGUUGCUGUUCGGAUGGUGUCCACGGCGACCAACUACAGUUGGUUCGUGUGCUCUUUUUGUUCAAAUAAAUCCAUUCUUCAGUCCAUGCUAUUGUACGAGACCAUUUUUUGCUUUUCAAUGGUGUCCACGGCGGCCAACUACAGCUGGCUUGUGUGCUCUUUUUGUUAAAAUAAAAUCCAUUCUUCAGUCCAUGCUAUUGUACCAGUUUGAUGCGGUAGGUUGAAAAAUUAUUGGAUUUCGUUUGGUUCCUUGAAACUGAGAGACAAUAAUUUUGUUUGAUUAAUUUGUUGAAGCUACGCACACAUAUAUGGCUAAGCCCUAUUUGUUGUUUGUUGUUAUGCAAGCAAAGGAUUUCGUCCGGUAAAACACCCAGCAACAGGAGUUUCUAUAAUGCUGAUUGAUUCAGAAACCCAAACAGUAUGGGUGUAGUUCUUGCAAUUAGAAUUUUAGAAUUACUAAUAUCCUUUUUAUAAUUAUUUUUGUUGAGAACUUCUUCAAGAUGCUCUGUAUCCUCUGUGUGUAAUGCACUUUGUUAUUGGCGAUGACUUCUGGAUGGAUUAUGCUGGUUGAAUAAACAACAUCUUCGCACAAACUAACAUUGGCAACAUCCAGAAAUUGAGAAAGCUUCUGCUCUGUUAACAAAAUUGUCUACUCAGGACUGGAAUUGGCAUAGGAUUUUUGGGUGGCUCUGUGAUGUAGCAGGUCUAGCUCACUUGGCCUUAUCCUUUUAAAGAUUGUUGCAUUUCUCGUUGUCCAAAUGCUCCAGCAGCCAAGGGUGAUCUACUCCAUGUAAAAAGGUUUCUGCAGAGAGCCCUUCAGAGCAAUAAUCUAUUUAUUGGCAGAAGACAAAUUGGUUUGAUCAAAGGCAGGGAAUAAAUAUUCAGAAGACAAAUUGCAGACGACAACCCAGGUAUUGUUCAGUUAGGUAUUCAAAGUGUAAUUAGUUGCCUUGAUUCGAUUCUUUUGGAAAAAAUAUUCAAAAUUUCGACCCAAAGCGAGAACAACAUGGCAUUGUAGCUCAUCAACUCCACUAUGGCUUCCAUUAGCAAGUUCUGGUAGCAAGCCAACUACACACUAUUGUAAUUGGGGUGCAGAAGAUGGAGGGGAAUGGUCACUGAUGACACAAGUGCAUUGAGUGGUUGGCAUCCUAAGUAAUGGGUGUCAGCGGCUAAUCUACCAUAUCUUGUGAGUAUAUUGCAUGUGCUGUCCUAACAUAUACACAUGUGGCAAGCCAGAUAAGCCAAAAACCCUGCAAUUUUCUUAUUUAUUGUUUUUCUUCAAGAUUUUCAGUGAACUUAGGAGCUCUGAAUAUAAGAACCAAGUAUCACUACCGAAAUGACACAUAUAAAAAUUAUGAACCCUGUAUUGAGAAAGCUAGAAAAUGAAGUAUGAAAAGUGUAAUUCUGUUAGAACUCCUAAAACCUUGUCUUCAAUGUGUGCGAUUGUAGCCUCUUUGCGAUUUUGGUUCACUUACACAGGAAAUACUAUUAGGAGCACACUAUGAUAAAUACAUGUAAAGUUUAUCAUCGGUAAAUGAAUAUGAAUCAAAUUUCGUUUUCUUAUGUUUACUAUACAGGAACUGAUCGUUCAUGAUCACUAUAAGGAUAAAUUAGUGGGUUUACUUCAUUCAGCAGCAUAUACAAAUCUAUUUGUUGUGUUUUUGGUUACUGGUAUUACUGUUUUGAAGGGUAUAAAUAGCUAAAUAAUUUUAAUUAGGUUUUUAAUCUCAGUAUACAGUCAAACAACAGAUGCAGUAAUUUUGUAGAAGGAAUGCAGCUCUUAGUCUAAUAGUGAUUUAUGUUUUUUAUGUGACAUGGAGCGAUCUGUGACUUUGAAGCACAUGUGAAUCUUGUGAUUCUGCAAAAUUUCUGUUACAUGCUCAUGGUUUUGCUAUACCGCUCUGAUCUGCAACCUACAAAAUUGCUAUCUUCCUAACACAUAAUGUUGGUUGUUAACUCCGAACAUAAUAUCACUAGAGCUCUACAUAUGCAUGUUCUUUUAAAAGGAAAAUUAAUAUAAGUUUGUUUCUGGCUAAUACACGGUAUUGAAAGUAAUAGUGUGAGGGAAACCAAGCAUGUUCUAUUAGGGAAGAAAAUAUUCUUUAUUUUCUUUAAUUCAAUCAAUAGACGAGUGUGUUUACCAAAAACUAUACUAUUACUUCUUCUGGUUGAAGGAUUUGCAUGCUUAGUAACACAUGAAAUGCUUAAUAUGAGCUCGAUAUUGAUGAUUUCAGUUUAUUAGUUGUUACUGCCGCCCGAUAUUGAUGAUUUCAGUAACACAUGUUCAAAAUAAUAGUGAGCUCGAGAGUGUGUCUCCUGGGAAGUCAGGCAGGUGUUACCGUUGCCCGGAGCUCAAAUCGGCAAGCCUCUCCGAUUCGGACCUCCUCAUCGCCUUCCGCGCCAUUGUCGACGCAUACACACAGGCGCUCGAGAAGACCUAGCGCCGCUACAAUGAUGACACAUCCCCUAGCUAUAGAUGGCGGCCACGGCGUAGAUCCCUUGGCCGGGUUCGAGAGUCGUUGCCUGCCCGAUGGCCAGCGCAUGACAUUCGAGGACUACUCCACCGUGUGCUGGCUGCUCAACAAGCUCCACGUCACCUUCCAGGAGCGCGACGUGUCCACCCACACACCCUACUGGGACAAGCUCCGCGUGCUGCUGCCGGGACAAACGGCUCCAUGUCACUCUCACAGCGGCUGUUCACGGAUGGUGGGGCAUUAGCAUUAUCGAGAAGUAGUGAUCUGCAGGACACAAUCAUGUGAAAUUCAGAAGAUUUGAUUGCUAGGGAUCCGGCCUGGAUUGAUCUGCCAUGCUUCACUGCAGGUUUAUCAUACAUAUAUAUCUCCUUGUAAUUUCUUAUUUUCUAGCUUUGCUCUCCUCCUCUUCUUCCAUCUUUCUUUUCUGUUUUUGUCAGCGUUCUGGGAACGGGGGUUCCCAGAAUUGCCAGCCUGCGGCCUGCGGCGUGGCUCAAAGGGGGCCCAGCACGGCCCAUCUUCACCAGUACAAACCCAAGACCCUCGCGAGGGUCCAAGCCUCGCGGGGCGGACGACACGGAGCUU